rnacentral:misc_RNA from 1 species
UCUCCGUUGGUGAACCAGCGGAGGGAUCAUUACUGGAAUCGCAAGAUCCCACAACCCCUGUGAACCUACCGAAACGUUGCCUCGGCGGGCUCAGCGCCCGGCGGCCCCCUACUCUUGUCUCUGCAGCGUGGCAUCUCAGAGUCCCAGAAAACAAGUAAAAACUUUCAACAACGGAUCUCUUGGCUCUA